AGCCGCAGAGGCAGUAGGUUCUCCGGGUUCGCGGAGGUGGCCACAAUCCGGGGCACCCCUGCGCAUGAAGCCCUUUAGCCCACAUCUCUCCCUUGCCCCAAACUUGCUCUCACCUACCCAAGUGUCCCCCGGGGGGACCACAGGCAAUCCGGAGAGAAGGGGAAACUGUGGUGACGCCGUAGCAGCCUAGGUGGUGUGCCCUCGCGCCCUCCACCUGCAGCGCCAGGUGAGCCGCAGCGACUCACACCCGACGCCGCCCACGGGGUCGGCAAGCCCAAGACGACUCAGUUAGUUAAGCCUCAGGAUCCCGGAUCCUAAACCCAGGGAGACUGGAACUCUCAGCCACUCCCGCAGGACACUCCCCAGAGGCAUGGGGGACUGCAGCGGUGCCCAGAAGCUAAUCAGACGCCGGACUCGGAUGCCCAUCAGUCGCCUGAGCUGAACUAGCCCUGGAGCCCCUACCCAUAUGAAUCCCCGCCGAGUGUCCCAACUUUCCCGUGAGGAUAGCUGUCACGCGACAUCUAUUGCGCCCGGGGCCGCGCGCGGGUGGCGAGCUGGAGCUAGGGAAGUCCCGGACCCGGCGGCCCGGGCUCGCCAAGCAGUAGCGGCUGCAGCUCAGCCAGGGUGACAGAACUAUUCAUCAUUAAAGAAAUGGACGCGUCUCCUUUUUACUAAGUUUUUACCUCCCUUAGGGAGGGCUGGUCUUGCCUUGGAUCGAAGCUCCUUGUAAAAAUCUAGGUUAGAACCGCGCGGAAUAGCCGCUGCGCUCUCUCGCCAGUCGCCCUGCACCCUUGUCCCGCGCGGGCCAGGCAGGCACCUGGCCUCCUGCCGGCAACCCACCUCGGUAUACUGACCAGCGUCCUCUCCCGUCUGCGCUGGCCUGGCCACCCCGGGGCCACCCCUGUUCUCCCAGGCCCCCUCCCGCCACUGUCGGCGCAAAGUGACAGUCUCUGCACUCACCUUUUCUAGGACAUGGUAGGGAGACUGGGGCGGGGGAGGGGGCAGCGAGACUCCCGCCGCCUCCGCCGCUGUUGCAGCCACCCGCAAGUCCAAUACCAGCUGAUCUGCGAUGAGGAUGGAGAGGGUAGCAAUCCUGGCAGUCGCCCUACUGACGGUGGGUAGAGCAAUAGAGCGACAGUGCAAUUAUCCUGCUGAAGGCAGCGAGCCGGUGGCACCAGAUCGCGCCGAGGGGGUUGCGAGCACCCGCCGGCCCCCAGCAGGGCAGCCGGGCCUGGGGCCGGCGGGACUCCGGGGAUGCUGGUUCGUCCCGCGGUGACUGCGGAGGUUCCGGGAACCCGCCAGUCCCGCGGAACGGCGUCGACAUGGUAGGACUUUUCCUUCUUUAAAUUCUGAAGUGGCACAUGGAGAGGUGACUCGGUGGUCGGCAGCAUUUGCAGCUCCUGCGGAGGACUGGGAUUCAGUUCCUGCAUCCACAUGGCUGUCACAACUGUCCAACUCCAGUUCAAGGGGUUCCCGUGCCCUCUUCUGGCCUCUGAGGCCACUGUGCUCACAUGGAACCCAUAGACACAUAUAAGCAAAC